UACAGAGACCUCAAGCGUUAUCCGGAUUUAUUGGGCGUAAAGCGCGCGUAGGCGGACAUAUUAGUCAGACGUCAAAUCUUCGAGCUCAACUCGAAAACUGCGUUUGAAACGGUAUGUCUUGAGAGAGUGAGAGACCAGUGGAACAUAUGGUGUAGCAGUGAAAUGCGUUGAUAUCAUAUGGAACACCAAAGGCGAAAGCAUCUGGUUGGCACUCUUCUGACGCUAAGGCGCGAAAGCGUGGGUAGCGAAU
rnacentral:rRNA from 1 species